CUCUUAUUCUGCCCAAGGUGAGACAGGUAACGCACACAGGUUAUUCUGCCCAAGGUGAGACAGGUAACGCACACUGUUAUUCUGCCCAAGGUGAGACAGGUAACGCACACUGUUAUUCUGCCCAAGGUGAGACAGGUAACGCACACUGUUAUUCUGCCCAAGGUGAGACAGGUAACACACACUGUUAUUCUGCCUAAGGUGAGACAGGUAACGCACACUGUUAUUCUGCCCAAGGUGAGACAGGUAACACACACUGUUAUUCUGCCUAAGGUGAGACAGGUAACGCACACUGUUAUUCUGCCCAAGGUGAGACAGGUAACGCACACUGUUAUUCUGCCCAAGGUGAGACAGGUAAUACACACUGUUAUUCUGCCCAAGGUGAGACAGGUAA